GACGAACGCUGGCGGCGCGCCUAACACAUGCAAGUCGAACGAGCGAGAGUAGAGCUUGCUUCUCGAGCGAGUGGCGAACGGUGAGUAACGCGUGAGGAACCUGCCUCAAAGAGGGGACAACAGUUGGAAACGACUGCUAAUACCGCAUAAGCCCACGACCUGGCAUCGGGUUGAGGGAAAAGGAGCAAUCCGCUUUGAGAUGGCCUCGCGUCCGAUUAGCUAGUUGGUGAGGUAACGGCCCACCAAGGCGACGAUCGGUAGCCGGACUGAGAGGUUGAACGGCCACAUUGGGACUGAGACACGGCCCAG
rnacentral:rRNA from 1 species